GCAUUGCUAAAUCACAAUGAGGGUAACCAUUUAUCUGUGCCGAAUGGUGGUUUAUUUUCUUGAUCUGAACCGAAUUUUAUCCCCUCUCACCUCAAUCUAUUAAAUUGCAGGGGAGUGACGACUUUUCCUCUAAUAUUCAUGCACAGUGACCAAUUUCAACUUAUGGUUUCAAGUUCUUGUGACCAUCAGGUGGAGAGGGAAAAAGGCAAAAUAGAAUGCCAUUUUACAUUUUAAAGAUUUCUCAAAAAGUUAAGGAACAGUUGGAGGGAACAAAUGAUGCUGCGAAGGAUGAUGAAGGAUUAGAAAUGCUCAAAGCUUGUGAAGAAGUUAGCUCCUGUGUUCAAGGAUCAAGCAUAAAAUUUUGCUGUGUAACUAUUCAACCUGCGAGGUAUCUACAUUCUAAUUAUAAAUCUUUUGAUUGCAGAUUAUGGUCAUUCCUGUUCUUUCACGAAUCUGUGGAAUUUUAUUUUAUUUAUUUAU
rnacentral:misc_RNA from 1 species